AAAAAAUCUUAGAGAUAAUUAACUAAAUUAAAAAUUAAAUAUCUAAUUAAAUUUUAUCAAUUUGAUCUGAUUCAAUUAUUUAGUUAAAAUCAAAUAAUGCAUACUUUAGUUGAAGUUUAUUUAGUUAAGCUCGCCUGCUCAAUGAAAAACAAAAAAAUACAAGCGGUUAAACAAGAAAAAUUAUAUAAUGAAAUCGAUUAUAUAUAAUUAUUAAUUAUUAUGGGUCUCAUAUGAAUUACGUCAUAAUUACCAAUAAUGAAAUUAUUGUAUAUACGUCAACUUCACUGGAUAAAAAUCCGUCAAAUAGAGUGAGAUCUGAUCCUUUGAAGGUUAACCUCUGAUAAUUUAGUCAGAAUUGGGAGUAUCAUAGAAGAAAAUCUAGACCUCUUCUCCUCACUUUCCAUGUAUUAAAAGCUCCCUAAUUGGCUCGUCCAUUGAGAAUCAAUUUCAGUGAAAAAUCAUUUGUUAAAUGUCUGCCAAGACAGACUUGUUUAGAAGAGCCUCUCCUGAAUGUCGUGAAGUGUCUGUAUUUGUUCACUGAGUUGACGACAAAUAUAUUUGAUCAUUCAAUACAAGAUGUGUAGAAGUCGAGGUUGUAGAGGUUAAAUGAUACAUGUAAUUGUAUUUUAAAUUAAAAAAUUCCAUAAAUGAGUGAAUUUGGACUAAGCAAACUAUAUCAAUUAAUUGGGAGUACAUUGAAAGCAAUUAUAAACUUUUGCUCUGCAUCAGACUGAGAUUUGGGUCCCCCCAAUUAUUUGCUGAGAAUCUUGAGUCUAGGAGUGUGGAUCAUUAAACAGACUCGCUUCCCUGCUGUAUGAGUCGGAAUUUGUUCAUAUACUAAUAUUUAAGGUGGUUACUUGAUUAUGAUUGAGAAUGAGGGAAAAUUCUUGCCCAAAUAUGGAUUUAAGGCAUCUUGUAUUUUGAGUUCAUAGUGAACCAAAUCAAGAAAAAUCAGAGAAUGAAUUUGAUAAUUUUAUGGUCUAUUAUUAUUGUGACAUAAUAAUCUGUUAGGUUUAAUUUUGUAGGUUACUUUUUAAAUACUGAAGCUACAUCAACAACUCUUGACUCCGAGGGAUGGUUAAGAACUGGGGAUCUAUGCUACAUUGAUGAUGACGGCUUUAUUUUUGUUGUUGAUCGACUGAAGGAG
rnacentral:misc_RNA from 1 species